rnacentral:rRNA from 1 species
UGGGGAAUUUUGGACAAUGGGCGCAAGCCUGAUCCAGCAAUGCCGCGUGAGUGAAGAAGGCCUUCGGGUUGUAAAGCUCUUUUGUCAGGGAAGAAACGGCUGCGGCUAAUAUCCGCGGCUAAUGACGGUACCUGAAGAAUAAGCACCGGCUAACUACGUGCCAGCAGCCGCGGUAAUACGUAGGGUGCAAGCGUUAAUCGGAAUUACUGGGCGUAAAGCGUGCGCAGGCGGUUUUGUAAGUCUGUCGUGAAAUCCCCGGGCUCAACCUGGGAAUUGCGAUGGAGACUGCAAGGCUGGAGUCUGGCAGAGGGGGGUAGAAUUCCACGUGUAGCAGUGAAAUGCGUAGAGAUGUGGAGGAACACCGAUGGCGAAGGCAGCCCCCUGGGUCAAGACUGACGCUCAUGCACGAAAGCGUGGGGAGCAAACA